GAUGAACGCUGGCGGCGUGCCUAAUACAUGCAAGUCGAGCGAACGGACGAGAAGCUUGCUUCUCUGAUGUUAGCGGCGGACGGGUGUGUAACACGUGGAUAACCUACCUAUAAGACUGGGAUAACUUCGGGAAACCGGAGCUAAUACCGGAUAAUAUUUUGAACCGCAUGGUUCAAAAGUGAAAGACGGUCUUGCUGUCACUUAUAGAUGGAUCCGCGCUGCAUUAGCUAGUUGGUAAGGUAACGGCUUACCAAGGCAACGAUGCAUAGCCGACCUGAGAGGGUGAUCGGCCACACUGGAACUGAGACACGGUCCAGACUCCUACGGGAGGCAGCAGUAGGGAAUCUUCCGCAAAGGGCGAAAGCCUGACGGAGCAACGCCGCGUGAGUGAUGAAGGUCUUCGGAUCGUAAAACUCUGUUAUUGGGGAAGAACAUAUGUGUAAGUAACUGUGCACAUCUUGACGGUACCUAAUCAGAAAGCCACGGCUAACUACGUG
rnacentral:rRNA from 1 species